GGCCUCAUACAUGCAAGUCGAGCGGUCCUUCGGGACAGCGGCGAACGGGUUAGUAACGCGUGGGAACGUGCCCCUUAGUACGGAAUAGCCAUUGGAAACGAUGAUUAAUACCGUAUACGCCCCAAGGGGGAAAGAUUUAUCGCUAAAGGAUCGGCCCGCGUUAGAUUAGAUAGUUGGUAGGGUAACGGCCUACCAAGCCGACGAUCUAUAGCUGGUUUGAGAGGAUGAUCAGCAACACUGGGACUGAGACACGGCCCAGACUUCUACGGAAGGCAGCAGUAGGGAAUCUUGGACAAUGGGCGUAAGCCUGAUCCAGCCAUGCCGCGUGAGUGAUGAAGGCCCUAGGGUUGUAAAGCUCUUUCGCCAGGGAAGAUAAUGACGGUACCUGGUAAAGAAACCCCGGCUAACUCCGUGCCAGCAGCCGCGGUAAUACGGAGGGGGUUAGCGUUGUUCGGAAUUACUGGGCGUAGAGCGCACGUAGGCGGAUUAAUAAGUCAGGGGUGAAAUCCCGAGGCUCAACCUCAGAACUGCCUUUGAUACUGUUAGUCUUGAGUUCGAGAGAGGUGAGUGGAAUUCCGAG
rnacentral:rRNA from 1 species